rnacentral:rRNA from 1 species
GAUGAACGCUGGCGGCGUGCCUAAUACAUGCAAGUCGAGCGAACGGACGCGAAGCUUGCUUCUCUGAUGUUAGCGGCGGACGGGUGAGUAACACGUGGUUCACCUCUCUAUCAGACUGGGAUCACUUCGGGAAACCGGAGCUAAUACCGGAUAAUCUUUUGAUCCGCUUGGUUCAAAAGUGAAAGACGGUCUUGCUGUCACUUAUAGAUGGAUCCGCGCUGCAUUAGCUAGUUGGUAAGGUAACGGCUUACCAAGGCAACGAUGCAUAGCCGACCUGAGAGGGUGAGCGGCCACACUGUAACUGAGACACGGUGCAGACGCCUACGGUAGGCAGCAGUAGGGAAGCGGCCGCAAUGGGCGGAAGCCUGACGGAGCAACGCCGCGUGAGUGAUGAAGGUCUGCGGAUCGUAAAACUCUGUUAUUAGGGAAGAACAGAUGUGUAAGUAACUGUGCACAUCGUGACGGUACCGAAUCAGAAAGCCACGGCUAACUACGUG